rnacentral:misc_RNA from 1 species
AACGCACCUUGCGCCCUUGGGUAUUCCUGAGGGCAUGCCUGUUUGAGUGUCGUGUUACCCCUCUCACCCGCUGCAUUAUUUUGGUGGAGCGUGUGGAUCGUGGUGGAAUUCGCUCUUUCCAAGAGAGAGCGUCCGCCGAAAUACGGGACACUUUUUUCUUCUUGAUUCUCGCGAGAGAAGAGAGAGGGAAAGAGUGGAAGAUCCCCAACGGAAAAUGUUGUAAUUUCCUCAUUUUCUCCGUUGGGAGCGCCUAACCGGGCACACUUUUGACAUUUUAUGACCUCAAGUCAGGUAGGACUACCCGCUGAACUUAA